CAUAGGUUAAUGAGGCGAACCGGGGGAACUGAAACAUCUAAGUACCCCGAGGAAAAGAAAUCAACCGAGAUUCCCCCAGUAGCGGCGAGCGAACGGGGAGCAGCCCAGAGCCUGAAUCAGUGUGUGUGUUAGUGGAAGCGUCUGGAAAGGCGCGCGAUACAGGGUGACAGCCCCGUACACAAAAAUGCACAUAUUGUGAGCUCGAUGAGUAGGGCGGGACACGUGGUAUCCUGUCUGAAUAUGGGGGGACCAUCCUCCAAGGCUAAAUACUCCUGACUGACCGAUAGUGAACCAGUACCGUGAGGGAAAGGCGAAAAGAACCCCGGCGAGGGGAGUGAAAAAGAACCUGAAACCGUGUACGUACAAGCAGUGGGAGCCUCUUUUAUGGGGUGACUGCGUACCUUUUGUAUAAUGGGUCAGCGACUUAUAUUCUGUAGCAAGGUUAACCGAAUAGGGGAGCCGAAGGGAAACCGAGUCUUAACUGGGCGUUAAGUUGCAGGGUAUAGACCCGAAACCCGGUGAUCUAGCCAUGGGCAGGUUGAAGGUUGGGUAACACUAACUGGAGGACCGAACCGACUAAUGUUGAAAAAUUAGCGGAUGACUUGUGGCUGGGGGUGAAAGGCCAAUCAAACCGGGAGAUAGCUGGUUCUCCCCGAAAGCUAUUUAGGUAGCGCCUCGUGAAUUCAUCUCCGGGGGUAGAGCACUGUUUCGGCAAGGGGGUCAUCCCGACUUACCAACCCGAUGCAAACUG
rnacentral:rRNA from 1 species